UGGCUUGGGAACGCCAGCGUAUAAUCAGGGCGACAAAAUGGGAACAGAAAAAUGAACUCAAAAAAUAAAUAUUAAAAAAAUAAAAACAAUGAGCUUUAAUUGCCUGUGACACAAAAGAAAUGCGCGGUUGAGGCUCAAGCAAGAUAAAUAUGCAAUAUAAAAUACGGAAAAAGAAGAAAAAAAGUGCUGCGAGUAAGAAUCAAAGCGUAAGCAAGGUCAAUUUAUAAAUUAAGCUUAAGUCGGCUUUGUCUGGUUCAAUCAUGAAUUUGAGCUCCAUUAAAAAUUGGCGUUGAACGCUAUAAACAACAACGAAUUUAUGCUUGCGACUGCAAAUGCUGGAAUUAUGCAAAUUUCGAAAAAUUUAUUUCAAAUGCAAUAACACUACAAUUGGAUGCGUAACGAAUUUCGUGCGAACUCAUGUAAGCAUUCAUUUGUUAUACGGAAAUUCACGUUCUGCUCAACUUAUGGUCAACAAAAUCGGCCUACUAAGCGUACUAAUCGCAACACCAUCAACUAUCUUGAGACCCAGCAUUCAUUAUUGGAUAAUAUUCGGCCGAAUAGACCACGUCCAGCACGCAGUAAAGAAAAUAUAGCAGCCGUAGGUAAGAGUGUACACGAAGAUCGUGGAGAGUCGAUUCGGCGCCGUAGCAACUCAGGCUGACGUAUGGCACGACUUGGCGCAUUUUAUGUCGAGAUCUUAAAUUGAAAGCAUACAAAAUAGAGUUUAUGCAAGAACUGAAGCUGCUCGACCUUCCUAAGUGGCAUCGCUUCGCUCUAAGGGCUCUUGAAAAGUUCCAAGAAGAUCCGAUAUUUUCGAGCCAAAUUUUGUUCAGCGAUGAGGCCCACUUCUGGCUCAAUAGGUAUGGAAACAAAUAAAAUUACCGCAUUUGGACGAACAGCAACCUGAAGACAUUCAAGAGCUGCAUUUCAUCUAGAAAAAACAACGGUUUGAUGUGGUUUGUGGCCCGGUGGAAUCAUCGCUCCAUAUUUCUUCAAAAAUGAUGCCGGUGAGAACGUAACGUCAAUGGCGACCGUUAUCGCGCUAUGACAACCGUCUAUUUGAUGCCUGAAAUUGAAUCUGAUGAUCUCGGCGACAUUUGGUUUUAACAAGGCGCCGUCACUUCCCACACAACACAUCAAUCAAUCGAUUUAUUGAGAGAACACUUCGGUGAGCAGAUAUUUUCCCCCACCAAGACCGCGUGAUAUCACACUGUUAGACUUUUUCCUGUAUCUAAAGUACUAUAUGCAAUCGUGCUUCGAUUCAGGCAUUGGAGCAAUACAUCACGCGUGUCAUUCGCCAGUUACCAGUCGAAAUGCUCGAACAAGUCAUCGAUUGGACUCAACGGAUGAAACAUCUGAGACAUAGCCGCGGUUAACAUUUAAAAGAAAUAAUCUAAAAAAAUAAUUGCCAAAGAUUGUUCUUUCGAAUGAUAAUAAACAUUCCGCCUUAAAUUUGAA